UCAGGAGUGAAGCUGCUGUGUGAUUUUCUGGAGAGUCCACACUGCAGACUGAAUACUCUGAGGUGGGAGUCUUCUUCUCUCUUCACAUGGUGGUGAUCUCUGUCAGAGUGUGAGUGGUGAGAAAGGUGUUUGUGUUGAGAGAGGAUCAGCUGAGUCCUGAUGAUGAUGUUGAAUCAUAUUUUUGUUUGACAUGAAAUUAAUCAGCCAAAAAUAAUUUAAAGUACUAACACUAACUUUACAUAUGUACAUGUAAUCCUGCAGAAAGUGUUAUUCAACAUGUAAACACACAAAAUGUCAAUCAUAGAUUAUUAUAUAUUCCCAUAUGUCUUUGCCGCCGGCCUCCAGAGGGGUUCCGCCUUGUUCCUCAUGCCCCAUCGGUGGUCCGGUCAACGCAGCACCCUCCAGUCCCUUUGCUGCGGCAGACUAUGGCUGAGCCUUAGCGGCCUCCAGCUCCCCGGGUUCCACUGCAGCCCUGUCGAUUAUGUUAAAUCUAAGCUGAAGUAUUCUGGAAAUUGUUUGUGUUGAAAUGACAUUGAUGUGAUUGUGUGAUACAUGUCGGUAAUGUCGUUAUAACCAGCUGAACUUCAGUUUCUGAUCAUGUCACCACAGUAUAUAUUGUUUAACUAAAUUAUUUUUUAUAAUAUUUAUAAUAUAUAUCUUAUAUAUAUAUAUUCACGGCAGAGCACCACGGUGUUAUAUUUCUCUUCACAUGCCAUUUCAAAUGUUAAAAAUCCAUUUAUGCAUAUUGCACAAAUGGAUUUUUUUCCACAUCAUUUAUUCUUUAUUUCACGGGUCUUAAACCUUUUUCAGCCCUCGGACUCCUUGGACGAGACAAACAGAACAGGGACCCCCACAUGUAAUUACAUUUUUUAAAUGUGUCAUAUUUGUGUUGUGUGUCAUUAUUAUAUUAUUAUAUAUGUGUGUGUGGCCACUUUACAUUGCAAGAUUUUUUAUCAUGGUUACUUUCCUUACAAUAUUAUUCAUAUCAUGCCGCUUUUACCUUCAGUACUUCUUUUUUUGCAGGUUGUUUUGUUCUUUUGUUUUAUUGUGUAGGUUAUAAGAUACUCCUGUCUGUUCGUUGUGCUUUGCCCUUUCUACUUUAAUUCUGUAGUGUAUAUCACACUCUGCUGUAAUAAGUGAAUUUCUCAGUUGUGGAAUGAAUAAAGUAUAAUCUAAUCUAA